rnacentral:rRNA from 1 species
GACGAACCGAGCGAACGUUGUUCGGAAUCACUGGCUUAAAGGGCGCGUAGGCGGGUGCUCAAGUCCGUGGUGAAAUCCUCCGGCUCAACCGGAGAACUGCCUCGGAUACUGGGCGUCUCGAGUGUGGUAGGGUAUGCGGAACUAUCGGUGGAGCGGUGAAAUGCGUUGAUAUCGAUAAGAACUCCGGUGGCGAAGGCGGCAUACUGGACCACUACUGACGCUGAUGCGCGAAAGCCAGGGAGCAAACGGG